UACGGAGGGUGCAAGCGUUAUCCGGAUUUACUGGGUUUAAAGGGUGCGUAGGUGGGUCUGUAAGUCAGUGGUGAAAUCUUCGAGCUUAACUCGGAAACUGCCAUUGAUACUAUAGGUCUUGAAUUAUCUGGAGGUAAGCGGAAUAUGUCAUGUAGCGGUGAAAUGCUUAGAUAUGACAUAGAACACCAAUUGCGAAGGCAGCUUACUACGGAUUAUUGACACUGAGGCACGAAAGCGUGGGGAUCAAACAGG
rnacentral:rRNA from 1 species